UGAUCAAGAGCGAAAGUUAAGGGUUCGAAAACGAUCAGAUACCGUUGUAGUCUUAACUAUAAAUGAUACCAUCCGAAGACAGGACACCGUCCUUUUCGACUCCUUCUGGAUCCUGGAGAAAUUACGAGUCUUUGGGUUCUGGGGGGAGUAUGGUCGCAAGGCUGAAACUUAAAGGAAUUGACGGAAGGGCACACAAAGAGUGGAACCUGCGGCUAGAGCGAUUUGGCCGCGAGAGUAACCCCGGGAAACCGGGGUACUAGUGGGCGGAGAGUGCCCGGGCGGGGAGGGGCGGGAGGGCGGCGGGUGCGAGUGCAGGCUCCCGCCGUCCGAUCCCUCUCCCCGCCCGAGCAAGCUCGCCCGCGACACCAUCAAACUGCGGGGAAUCCCUAAAGCCGGUCGCUCCUACCGAUUGG
rnacentral:rRNA from 1 species